UGACUGGGUAAACUGAGCUACUUUGAUCUACUCGGUGUCAAAUUUAUCAAUGCAAUUCAUCAAAAACGAGAGCGAAAUUGUCGCAAAAAACGUUUUCGUUUCAAUCAUAAUAUGCCAUUCUAUUAAGUCACUAAUAUUAAGAUGUGUCGUACAAAUUUAGAAAUUAAAAAACAGGCUAUGAGCAGCCUGGUCUCCAUACACCUUGGGCUUGGAGAACGAUUGUUGUUGAUGUGUGUUUAAUAUUUACAUUUCAAGAGGCAUAGCAAGCGGAAAACGGUUUGGUUUGUUAUUCGAAGCUAGGAGAUAAAAUUGCAAACGGUUCGUGUUUCAUACCAUUUAACAUAUCAGCAAGUCGAAGCACACGUAGAAUGGGAUCGAGGUAACGGCUUCAUAUUUUGGAACCAUGCACCAGCGUUGGAUGCUGGUGUCAUACUUAGCACUCAUACUUAAUUCAUGGAACGGUUUAUAAUGUAAUAAGCUCGCUUAUAAUGUAUGUAUACAGGAGUGAAUUGCCACGAUUACGACGGUGCAGGCCAUUUGACGUGCCGGCUGAUUCUUUGACCGAUCCAGUUUUGACUACCACAUUUGCUCGCUUUGAUGCCACCAUGCUGUUGCAUGCCAUUGCCGAGAUAAGCAUCUACUUGGCUGUGAAUCCACUGGAUUCGAUAUCGCGAAUAAUGAACCCAAAACAUCACCGACACUGAACAUUAUAACAUUUACCGUGGCGUGCAGUGGAUCCUGUAGAACUACAGGACGCUCCAGGAAAUAAUUCCCAUCCUGACAAUGAAUGAGCUGUUCGUAGUAUUGCACAUAGUGCAUUGUGCUAGCACUUUUCGCACAGUUUGGUCUACGAGAACGGUGCGCUUUUUGUGCUCUCAACGUGCUAUGCGCUUUGAGUUUUUGAGCCCUGUCCGCUCUUUGAACACUUGAGGUUUGGUCUCCAUUUUUUCCACGUCCACGUAAAACUUUCCGCACAGUCGCGUACUUUAAGCGCUGUGUUGUAAUGCGCGCUUAAUAUGAUUUGCUGUGCGCAUGAUGCGCCGUUUCCAGCGUUUCGAAUUACAGGCGUUUCAGGUCACAGAAGUGUUCACGGGCUAUGCCGGCAAGCUGGUGAACAAAGAGAACAUUAUCAAGGUUUACACCAUGCUCAUGAACGGCAAACUCGACCAACUGACGGAGAUUGCCUUUUGGUCAUGGUCGGUACGAUCGAGAAUUUUGGCAAAACGAAGUAAAGCGUCUGGCCAAGGAACCGGCCUAAGAAUCCGGUCGACUCAAAAAGAUAAAGUAGGCAGUUUUCCAGUACUUGCGUCGGCGUUCGAAUUCGGUUGGAAAACGAUCAAGCAGAGCUCCUCGGAUGUGAACUCACUUCAGCGGCACCUCCUCAUUCACUGUGCUGUUAGUGUAAUAAUUUUAAUCGAAUCGGUGAUAUUUUUAGCAUACGAGGCGUGUAAUUUGUUAGUUUCUCCAUAGUGCAAAUAUAAAAAGAUGUUUUGUAGAUGGAUGAAAAGGUA